rnacentral:rRNA from 1 species
GGGGACAACGUUUCGAAAGGAACGCUAAUACCGCAUACGUCCUACGGGAGAAAGCAGGGGACCUUCGGGCCUUGCGCUAUCACAUGAGCCUAGGUCGGAUUAGCUAGUUGGUGAGGUAAUGGCUCACCAAGGCGACGAUCCGUAACUGGUCUGAUAGGAUGAUCAGUCACACUGGAACUGAGACACGGUCCGAACUCCUACGGGAGGCAACACUGGGGAAUAUUGGACAAUGGGCGAAAGCCUGAUCCAGCCAUGCCCCGAGUGUGAACAAGGUCUUCAGAUUGGAAAGCACUUUAAGUUGGGAGGAAGGGCAGUAAAUUAAUACUUUGCUGUUUUGACGUUACCGACAGAAUAAGCACCGGCUAACUCUGUGCCAGCAUCCGCGGUAAUACACAGGGUGCAAGCGUUAAUCGGAAUUACUGGGCGUAAAACGCGCGUAGGUGGUUCGUUAAGUUGGAUGUGAAAUCCCCGGGCUCAACCUGGGAACUGCAUUCAAAACUGUCGAGCUAGAGUAUGGUAGAGGGUGGUGGAAUUUCCUGUGUAGCGGUGAAAUGCGUAGAUAUAGGAAGGAACACCAGUGGGAAAAGCGACCACCUGGACUGAUACUGACACUGAGGUGCCAAAGCGUGGGGAGCAAACAGGAUUAGAUACCCUGGUAGUCCACGCCGUAAACGAUGUCACUAGACGAUGGGAGCCUUGAGCUCUUAGUGGCGCAUCUAACGCAUUAAGUUGACCGCCUGGGGAGUACCCGCGCGAGGAUAAAACUCAGAUGAAUUGACAGGGGACCGCACGAGCGGGUGGCAGCAUGUGGUGUAGUUCGUAGCUACGUUCAUACCUUACCAGACUUGACAUCCACUGACUUUCAUCAGACGAUCGUGCUCGGGAUCCUGCACAGUGACUGAUGCUGUCGUCAGCUCGUGUCUGAAUCUGGUAGUUCCGUUACGAACGCCACCUAGAACUACUACUGCACGUCAUGUCGGCACUCUAGGACUGCAGUGA